AGUAUUUAUAUGGACUUAUUAAUCUUGAUAUUCUGAGCAAACAAAAUUGGUUCUUUCUUUUACUAUUGUUUUAUUUAUGGGUUAGUAAGUAAAUCACGUUACAAAUUUGUAAUGAAAGAUUUGAAUGUUGGGGUUAGACGUAAAGAUAACUGGCACUCUGGACUGUUAAGUAAAACUUGUAAGGUUGAGAGAUCUUGAAAAUGUGCUUUGGAGAAACGGGUCUGUUUUACUGUUUAAAGUGGCCAUGAUCUUGUUACAUGUGUUUUGGUGAAAAUGUGUGAUGUGUUUGGAUGGUUGUCACUUUCAAGAAAUAUAUACUGUACAUGUACUUACGUGGUAAAAAAUAUAGUGAAGUUUUAUGAAGUCAGUAGUAUGCUUAUUGUACAGACUUCAGAUUUUUUUUUUAAAUUGAAAAAAGGAUAUGUGAUACUGUCAUCUUUUAGUAUUUUUUCCCCCUAUAAAUUAUAAGGUUGAUUUUAUAUACAAUAUUAAUACAUCCAUAUUAAGAGCACAUUUUCCUCUUUUAAGAUUGUCUUUUUUAUGGAGUAUGGAAACAGCUUUACAACAGAAGUUUAAAGACCUGAGUUGUUCAUUUCUUUUUGGUUUUAUUUUUGAAUGAAUAACACUUGUAUAGUUGUGGCUUAAUAAUUCAGUUGUAAAUGGGGGUUGUGCAUUUAUCUAUUAGAUUUUAACAAGGACAUUUUGUAUAACUGCAUGACAACUGAAUAAAUUAAGAUGUAAAAC
rnacentral:sRNA from 1 species